AGAGUUUGAUCAUGGCUCAGGACGAACGCUGGCGGCGCGCCUAACACAUGCAAAGUCGAACGAGCGAGAGAGAGCUUGCUUUCUUGAGCGAGUGGCGAACGGGUGAGUAACGCGUGAGGGAACCUGCCUCAAAGAGGGGGACAACAGUUGGAAACGACUGCUAAUACCGCAUAAGCCCACGACCCGGCAUCGGGUAGAGGGAAAAGGAGCAAUCCGCUUUGAGAUGGCCUCGCGUCCGAUUAGCUAGUUGGUGAGGUAACGGCCCACCAAGGCGACGAUCGGUAGCCGGACUGAGAGGUUGAACGGCCACAUUGGGACUGAGACACGGCCCAGACUCCUACGGGAGGCAGCA
rnacentral:rRNA from 1 species